GAACGAACGCUGGCGGCAGGCUUAACACAUGCAAGUCGAGCGCGUAGCAAUACGAGCGGCAGACGGGUGAGUAACGCGUGGGAAUCUACCCAACCCUACGGAAUAACGCAUGGAAACGUGUGCUAAUACCGUAUACGCCCUUUGGGGGAAAGAUUUAUCGGGGAUGGAUGAGCCCGCGUUGGAUUAGCUAGUUGGUGGGUAAAGGCCUACCAAGGCGACGAUCCAUAGCUGGUCUGAGAGGAUGAUCAGCCACAUUGGGACUGAGACACGGCCCAAACUCCUACGGGAGGCAGCAGUGGGGAAUAUUGGACAAUGGGCGCAAGCCUGAUCCAGCCAUGCCGCGUGAGUGAUGAAGGCCCUAGGGUUGUAAAGCUCUUUCACCGGUGAAGAUAAUGACGGUAACCGGAGAAGAAGCCCCGGCUAACUUCGUG
rnacentral:rRNA from 1 species